GAUGAACGCUAGCGGCAGGCCUAACACAUGCAAGUCGAGGGGUAGAGUUCUUCGGGACUUGAGACCGGCGCACGGGUGCGUAACGCGUAUGCAAUCUACCUUAUACAGGGGAAUAGCCCAGAGAAAUUUGGAUUAAUGCCCCAUAGUAUUAUUGAAUGGCAUCAUUUGAUAAUUAAAGUUCCAACGGUAUAAGAUGAGCAUGCGUCCCAUUAGUUAGUUGGUAAGGUAACGGCUUACCAAGACAAUGAUGGGUAGGGGUCCUGAGAGGGAGAUCCCCCACACUGGUACUGAGACACGGACCAGACUCCUACGGGAGGCAGCAGUGAGGAAUAUUGGUCAAUGGGCGCAAGCCUGAACCAGCCAUGCCGCGUGCAGGAAGACGGUCCUAUGGAUUGUAAACUGCUUUUANACAGGAAGAAACCCUCCCACGUGUGGGAGCUUGACGGUACUGUAGGAAUAAGGAUCGGUCUAACUCCGUGCCAGC
rnacentral:rRNA from 1 species